AGAGUUUGAUCCUGGCUCAGAUUGAACGCUGGCGGCAUGCCUUACACAUGCAAGUCGAACGGCAGCGCGGGUGCUUGCACCUGGUGGCGAGUGGCGAACGGGUGAGUAAUAUAUCGGAACGUACCCUAGAGUGGGGGAUAACGUAGCGGAAGUUACGCUAAUACCGCAUACGAUCUACGGAUGAAAGUGGGGGAUCGCAAGACCUCAUGCUCAUGGAGCGGCCGAUAUCUGAUUAGCUAGUUGGUGGGGUAAAAGCCUACCAAGGCGACGAUCAGUAGCUGGUCUGAGAGGACGACCAGCCACACUGGAACUGAGACACGGUCCAGACUCCUACGGGAGGCAGCAGUGGGGAAUUUUGGACAAUGGGGGCAACCCUGAUCCAGCAAUGCCGCGUGAGUGAAGAAGGCCUUCGGGUUGUAAAGCUCUUUUGUCAGGGAAGAAACGGGAUUUUCUAAUACAAAGUCCUAAUGACGGUACCUGAAGAAUAAGCACCGGCUAACUACGUGCCAGCAGCCGCGGUAAUACGUAGGGUGCAAGCGUUAAUCGGAAUUACUGGGCGUAAAGCGUGCGCAGGCGGUUGUGCAAGACAGAUGUGAAAUCCCCGGGCUCAACCUGGGAAUUGCAUUUGUGACUGCACGGCUAGAGUGUGUCAGAGGGGGGUAGAAUUCCACGUGUAGCAGUGAAAUGCGUAGAGAUGUGGAGGAAUACCGAUGGCGAAGGCAGCCCCCUGGGAUAACACUGACGCUCAUGCACGAGAGCGUGGGGAGCAAACAGGAUUAGAUACCCUGGUAGUCCACGCCCUAAACGAUGUCUACUAGUUGUCGGGUCUUAAUUGACUUGGUAACGCAGCUAACGCGUGAAGUAGACCGCCUGGGGAGUACGGUCGCAAGAUUAAAACUCAAAGGAAUUGACGGGGACCCGCACAAGCGGUGGAUGAUGUGGAUUAAUUCGAUGCAACGCGAAAAACCUUACCUACCCUUGACAUGUACGGAACUUACCAGAGAUGGUUUGGUGCUCGAAAGAGAACCGUAACACAGGUGCUGCAUGGCUGUCGUCAGCUCGUGUCGUGAGAUGUUGGGUUAAGUCCCGCAACGAGCGCAACCCUUGUCAUUAGUUGCUACGAAAGGGCACUCUAAUGAGACUGCCGGUGACAAACCGGAGGAAGGUGGGGAUGACGUCAAGUCCUCAUGGCCCUUAUGGGUAGGGCUUCACACGUCAUACAAUGGUACAUACAGAGGGCCGCCAACCCGCGAGGGGGAGCUAAUCCCAGAAAGUGUAUCGUAGUCCGGAUUGUAGUCUGCAACUCGACUACAUGAAGUUGGAAUCGCUAGUAAUCGCGGAUCAGCAUGUCGCGGUGAAUACGUUCCCGGGUCUUGUACACACCGCCCGUCACACCAUGGGAGCGGGUUUCACCAGAAGUAGGUAGCCUAACCGCAAGGAGGGCGCUUACCACGGUGGGAUUCGUGACUGGGGUGAAGUCGUAACAAGGUA
rnacentral:rRNA from 1 species